UGGGGAAUCUUGCACAAUGCGCGAAAGCGUGAUGCAGCAACGCCGCGUGAGGGAAGACGGCCUUCGGGUUGUAAACCUCUUUCAGUUGGGACAAAGGUCGGGUGGUUAAUAGCCAUUCCGACUGACGGUACCUUCACAAGAAGCCCCGGCUAACUACGUGCCAGCAGCCGCGGUAAUACGUAGGGGGCAAGCGUUGUCCGGAAUCAUUGGGCGUAAAGAGCGUGUAGGCGGCUUGAUAAGUCGGCUGUGAAAGUCAGGGGCUCAACCCUUGAAUGCCGGCCGAUACUGUCAAGCUAGAGUCCGGAAGAGGCGAGUGGAAUUCCUGGUGUAGCGGUGAAAUGCGCAGAUAUCAGGAGGAACACCAAUGGCGAAGGCAGCUCGCUGGGACGGUACUGACGCUGAGACGCGAAAGCGUGGGGAGCAAAC
rnacentral:rRNA from 1 species